AAGUCGUCAGAAAAGGGGAGAUGGUUGGCAGUUCCUUGCACAAGGUUGGGCAUGGCAUCUGAUGCCCACUCUCCUGAAGUAUGACACAUCCGCUACUUUCGGAUGGCCUUUUUGC
rnacentral:ncRNA from 1 species